AACUAUAAAGAUAGUUUGGUGUCACAUACUGCUCAUCGUGUUGUGGUUCUUUCUUGAAGUUGUGGAGAUUGUGUGGUAUCACACUGUUCAAACUCAAGUGAGUUUCAAAAUUAGUGUGGCAAGUGUGUUGUGUAUGUUCAUGUUCGUGGUAAAGAAUUCUGUAGGGACCAACAAACAAUAGUGACAAAGGAUACCUCGAACUGAAAUACAAGGCAACCCAUGCUCCACUGAGCUUUCCACAUGCUACACCAAGCUACCCUCAUGCUCCAACAUAAUUAUCUUCAUAGAGCUUUCCACAUGCUCCAUUGAGCUCCACCUCGCAACAUUCAGGUUCUUCAAUUUUCGUUUUUAAAAUUUAUGGGUUCUGCCAUGGAUAAAUUUUUUCAAUUCAAUUACUUAAAAAGGUUAUAAAUUCAUUUAUGAGAUGCCUUAUCAAACUAUGUCAAAAUUAUGGCCGAGAGUUGAGGCCGGAUCGCCAAGAAGUGGCCCUAGAGGCUGAGAACUAUAGUCAGAUAACAACGACUUGUGGCCUGGUAAUAAUAUGUGUGUUUGUGACCAAGUAAGUCGUGUACACUACUAAAUACAAAGAGUGAAGAAGUUUUCCAUAUAAAUGUCUAUGUCUAGUUUUGCUAACUAAUACCCGACUUGACCCGACCCAUAUACAUGAACCCAUAUACAUGGAGUGAAGCGGCCUGGUCAAUGUUUAGCCUUGUUAAAGACUGACAUAAAACAUCCACCCCCUCUCCCUGUAUCAGUUUUCCUGGUCGGGAUGGAACAAAACGAAUCCCCAUUUGUAGCCAUAAGGAAAGGGUGAGCAGUGCUCUCAGGAACAUCAGAGAAACCUCUUAAGUCGCUCGGUCUCGGCCUUCAGGUCCUAACCUUUCGACCAUCCGGCAUCAACCGUUCGGCCACUAGGCCUCAUCAAAGCAUUUGGCCUCUUGGCAACAAUAAUGACUCGGCCUCUC
rnacentral:lncRNA from 1 species